UUGUUUCCGCACCACCCCGCCACCCCCGUUCGCGCCCAAGUGGGGGAGACCGAGUCUCCCCACGUCCCACUCCUCCCCCGCAAAAUCGGCACCGAACCGCCGCCUCUCCGACCACAUCAGCGCGCCCAUGUCACCGGCCGGUUGCCGCCCUCAUCAGCCACGAUUCUCCCUCCCCGAGCGUAUAAAAACCACCCCCAUACCUCCCUCUCCAUUUUACCCUCUCUCCUAAGCCCUCCCAUGCCCGAAAACCACCGCGCCACCGCUGCUCCUCGCCUCCGCUGCUCGCCGGCGAUCUCCAGCCGCCCCUCACCGCCGCUCUAGCCAUCGCCGCACUAUGCCGCCUCCACCAAUGGCUUUGCCGUCACGCGCCGCACACCGGCAGCCGCUCCACUCCUCCAAACUGCCGCCCAAACACCUCCUCCCCGUGCAUCCGAGCCGCCACCACCUCUGUCGCGCUCCAGCCACACCUCACCGCCACCCUAGCCACCGCCGGGCCGCGCCGCCCCUGCCAUUCGCUUUACCGCUCCACGCAGCACACCGGCCCCUACUCCGUUCUCCCCUUCCACCCCCGCAGCUCCAUUCCCAUCGUGAGGCCGAGCCACUGCCUCCAGCCGCGCGCCACCGCCGCUCCCGCCACCGUUGUGCUGCGCCGCCUCCACUGCCGGCUUCGCCGCCACGCGGGCACGCUCAGCCUCCACUCCGUUUCACCAUUCUAUCACCGGAACUCCACCUCCACUGUCAACCCGAGUCGCCACCACCUCUACCGCCUCCAGCCGUCCCUCGCCGCCGCCGCCACGAGCGACCUCCGACCUCGCACUCUCCUUCAUCGACUUCGCAACAACGAUUGGGAGCCUGACAUCCCCCUCAUCCAAGCUCUUCGUCAACGGAAAAUCGAUUACCCGCUGUGAGAAGUCCUUCCGACCACCGUCUGCUGGUUCUCGCUCGCGAAACACCGCCGUUGCCGUGCCACCCCGAGGAGCCGCCACCACCUUCCUGUCACCUUCUUGCCAUUGCGCGAGCACGCGUGUAGUUUCCAUCGUUUCGGAAGCUCGCGGUCGUGAGGAAAAGUGUUCAAAAUAUCCAAGUGAAGAAGGAAGGCAAGUCACACAUUCCCCUUGAGCAUGUUGAUCCUAAUUUAGAAAUGUUUUCUCGUUUGCAAAUAAAUAUGCAUGUUUUGCAAAUUACAUGGGAUCCGGAUAUUACCUAUCUGCUCGCUUGUGCCAUGUUUACUUGAUAUCUGUUCUUUGUCAACCUUGGGUAAUAAAUCGACUAGCUUGUGUGACUAUGUUAACCUUGCUAGAACUAUUUGCUUAGCCAUGCUUAAUUACCACUAGUUCAGUUGAUGGGAUAAUUACAGUUUUAGACCUGUUAGUAUCAUGACGAGCUGCGUGCUCAAGACACCCAACCAUGUUGCAUUGGUCGUAAUUAUCCAACUAAAAUGCGACUGAAUGGUGGGUUGUGGGUGCAUGGUUUUGUUGGUCGCACCCAUGGCAAUUAAGGACCGGUUCGCGGGAUGCACUGGAAGACAUACAACGCUUGCCACAAGCGGGAAUGGGUAACUGCCUGACUUGAAGUAUAGCUUUCCUCUGGCUGACGUUCCCAAGAAAGGGUGGGCGUGAUGGAGUAGGGUCGCCCGGGGUGUUCGGUCUAUCGGCUUCUGGAUUCACCAUGGAACGAGAGGGGACUACCCGCUGCCUUGCGAGGAGUGGGGGUGAAACCUGAGGUGUGGUGCGAUUGGUCAGAGGGGGUUAUAUGAAGGGUCUUGUCACAAUCACUCGACAUGGUGACGUGUUCAUCAUGGGCGCAUGAUGACACGGUGACAUGCCGGUGGAUUGUGUCUUGUGGGUAUAGUUGUGCACCUCUGGCCAUAGUAAAACUAUUUGAAUAGCCGUGCCCGCAGUUAUGAGUGAUCGACCAGAUUCAUCGUGAUUAG